rnacentral:sRNA from 2 species
UGUUAGCAUGCAAUCCAUCUGCUAGAUGUACGGGUAUUAAUAGUUAAAUCAUAAGUUAACCGCCGGGCCGUUGCGAAUCACGACCAUGCAUAAGCGUAAGCUGAUCCAGACCAUGAAUUAUACUCUCUCUCACAUAUAAAGAUUAAAUAUUGGACCGUGCAAAUACAUAGAAAGUGGCAACGUUUUCUCGAUUUUCAAUUGCUGUCCGUGAGCUCAUCGUUCCUUUUGGCGAUAACUUGUAUGUGCAGGUGCAAGGGAUCCCAGCAUGAGGCCAUCAAGGAAUGCAUCGUUUAAAGGCAUAGUCAUGACCCAUGGGCAAUGCUCGAGGCAGGUUUGCCCUGUCCCGCUAAAGUGUCUGUUAGAAACAUAAGGGAUUCCCCUUCCAACUCCUUAAUCUUGAUAGGUCUCGACCACCUCUUCCUAGCUCUUGACGCGACGCCCAUAUCCCGUUCUCCGUCCGUCUUUAGCCCUGAACCUUGUUUGAACAGAAGACUCUUCGGCGGCGCCAAACGAGGGUUUCCUUUUCUUUUCAAGUAAAACAGCGGGUUCGAGAAGGUCAUCCGGUUCGCCAGCCGCCCAGCAAGAAGCAUGGGGUUUUUAGGAAAGGCGCCAUAGAAAGCCGAACACACAUUUCUAUCUUUCUUUCCUUUUUUUUUUUUGUUUUCAAGUCGUGAAAAAAAUGAGGGGGAAUAUUCGUGAAAGCGCC